rnacentral:rRNA from 1 species
GACGAACGCUGGCGGCGUGCUUAACACAUGCAAGUCGAACGGAAAGGCCCUGCUUUUGUGGGGUUCUCGAGUGGCGAACGGGUGAGUAACACGUGAGUAACCUGCCCUUGACUUUGGGAUAACUUCUGGAAACUGGGGCUCAUAUCGGAUAUGAUCUCCUGCUGCAUGGUGGGGGUUGGAAAGUUUCGGCGGUUGGGGAUGGACGCGCGGCUUAUCAGCUUGUUGGUGAGGUAGUGGCUUACCAAGGCUUUGACGGGUAGCCGGCCUGAGAGGGUGACCGGCCACAUUGGGACUGAGAUACGGCCCAGACUCCUACGGGAGGCAGAAGUGGGGAAUAUUGCACAAUGGGCGGAAGACUGAUGCAGCAACGCCGCGUGCGGGAUGACGGCCUUCGGGUUGUAAACCGCUUUCGCCGGUGACGAAGCGUGAGUGACGGUAAUGGGUAAAGAAGCACCGGCUAACUACGUG